AGAUCUGCCAUUUAAAGGCUGCCUUGCACUUUUCUGCCUACAGAGACCUUGGUCACUUUGAUGUAGUCGUCUUCCUUUAGGUUGAACAGAUAAGCCUUGGUGAGGACAAUUCGGCUGCUAUUUACUCUAAUUUAUUAGAUACCUUUCUGCCUCAAGCUCACACAAUUCUUCCCAGGAAUCCCCCAUGAACGUGCAGGAAGCAGAAGGUGAAACCCUGCAUUGCCGUGUUCUCAGGCCUGCCUCCCCCUGUGUCCCGGGUGUACAGUGACAGUGGCAGUGCUGCCCCCGCAAGACGACAUCUCAGGAACGUGGUCCUGGAGGACAGCGCUUGUCUGGGAAGGCCAUCCACGGAGCAUUUCCCUGCAGAAGAUUUAGGAAAGACAGAGACGCAUGUGAGUGUCUUGCUUCCAACAAAUUCCCAGAUGGAGUCUUCCCUUGACACAUACUUUUAGUUACUGUGUUUGCACGUACACUUUCAGGUAUGCAUGGCCGUCAUAUGUCUCUAUUUUAUUUGCAACAACUGGGAGGUGAGACUUCAUCUUUGACAUGUGUCCCUGGUGUGUAAGACACUGCACUGUUAUGUGCAUUCAAGAAAUACUUUCUCACUAAUAUCCCUCCCCAUUUGUAGUAUACGGAAAGAGCAGUGUGAGAAAAUGAGUCCUUUGUCCCUGGAUCAGUCAGAAGUCAAUCAGGAAACAGAAACCUUUCUAGGUUUUUCAGUUAGAGUUGCUAGAGGGACUGAGGUUUCCAGCUGGGUGAGUAAAGAUCAGAAGUUUGCUUUGGGCACACCUGGGAGGGCAGGGCAGGGUCUCAAGGGAAACGGGCUGCCCGUGGCGGGUGUUCCCCACGGUCUGAGCCACUGUCUGCAGCUGGUACCAAGGAACACUGGCUUCACCUUCUUUACUGUCUUGGACCUCACAUGGGGGCGCCUCUCACUGGCCAGUUCUAACCUGGAGCCAUGUGGGGAAAGAACUUCUGGGGAAGGAGGUUCCUGGUUUUCCUGUGAGACACAGAGAAGAAUGAGGUAGGAGGUAGAUGGGCCCCUGGGCUGGGCAGCUGGUUGUCAAGUGGAGUAAAUUGGAGCUUGUUUUCCCUGACACUCCAAGGACAAAGUUAAUGGCAAGAGCAGAGGGGAGCUGAGCUCUGCUGGAGUAAAAAGAUAAGAUGACCCCAUCGUUCCUUCUUGAGGUCAAGGAGACCUCCCCAACUACACAUGCGCAAAAAGCCUCCUGGGGGGUCAAAAAGGGAGGGGGCACUAACCCAUAAUAAGUUCUGUCAAUCUCCCAGAGACCCCCUCGCUGGAAUACAUCUUGGCUAAAAGAUGUGCGUGCCUAUCGGGAGGGCCCUGGGUCAGGUCAGGUGUGGGAAACGAAGAAAGAUGACUGGCCAGAGGCAAACAAAGACCGGGAAAAACUGCCCCCAUAUGAGUGAUUUAACUCACCUCUCUGGCACAUUCCUCAUUAGGGAGACCAUCCACACUGUUCUCUGGGUGUGUAUUUCUGCUUUGCCUCUGCUCUAAAUAAUCUGCUUCUUUGUUCUCUUUGCACAUACUGUGCUUCCAAUAAAUUCUG